CUGUGGUCUUAUUUCGUUGGUUUUGCGGGCCACGGUAAUGAUGAAUAGGGACAGUUGGGGGCAUUUGUAUUGCCGAGCUAGAGGUGAAAUUCUUGGAUUUCGGCAAGACAAACCGGUGCGAAAGCGUCUGCCAAGGAUGUUUUCAUUGAUCAAGAACGAAAGUUAAGGGAUCGAAGACGAUCAGAUACCGUCGUAGUCUUAACUAUAAACGAUGCCGACUGGGGAUCGGGCGAUGUUGUUUCUGACUCGCCCGGCACCCUGCGAGAAAUCAAAGUGUUUGGGUUCCGGGGGGAGUAUGGUCGCAAGGCUGAAACUUUAAGGAAUUGACGGAAGGGCACCACCAGGAGUGGAGCCUGCGGCUUAAUUUGACUCAACACGGGGAAACUCACCAGGUCCAGA
rnacentral:rRNA from 1 species